rnacentral:lncRNA from 1 species
CCGCUCGCCAGUCCCAAGGCUCCGAUGCUGCUGCUAGCUCCCGCCGAGGGCGCUUAGAACUUCAUCAGGUGCGGGCGGUCGCCGUCCUUCAGGGUGAAGCGGGUCGACAGGUAGCCCUUCAGGUCGGCCGACAGGGCCGGCAGCAGAGCGGCGUCCAGGGUCUUCUGGUUGGCGAUGUACUCCUGGCUGAGCACGUUCUUCUUCGCCUCCGACUGGUCGAAGAACUCCUUCUCGCCCUUCUUGCUCGACUUGCUCUCCACCGCCUUGAAGUAGCUGUCCGUGAACUUCGACAGGUCCAGCUUGGGCAGCGACACCUUGGUGCUGGUGCCAAUCACGUACGCGGCGUUGACGCGACGCACCGGCACACCGUUCAGCUUGAACGGGCCGGUAACGAGCAGCAGGCCCGAAGGCAGCUGGCCCAGGAAGAUGACACGCUUGCCCUUGAAGCGACCGGCCAGCAGAAUCAGCACGGUGCCUGGCGUGAUGCUGGCGCGCAGCUUGGUCUGCUUGUGCACAGCGUUGUGCGACAGAGGCUUGGGCACAUCAUCGGCGGGGUAAAAGCGGGGAGCCUUGCCCUCAGCCUGCUUGGCCACAGCCUUCUUGGCGGGCGCGGGGAACUUGCCGCCGUUCUUCUUCUUGAUCGCCCACAGACCCUUGCGCCUGCAGACAGAGAAGCGGCGGUCAGCAUUGCGGCGGCGCCCACACAGCCGAAGAGUGCGCUAUAACUACACAGGACGCUUCAACCUGCAAAGGUAUACAGGUAAACAUUGCGAGGGCCGCCGGCAACAAGCAACCCGCCGGAAAUGCGCUCACUUGUAGGUCUUGGCCCGGCCCUCAGCGGUGAUACCGCGGGCAACGAAAGUGGCGGGCUUGGCCAUGGUGCUACGUCCACCUGCUGAAAGAGAGAGAGUGGUGUUCGCCUGCCGCUGUGAAGGGUCUCGCGAGUCACAUUGCAUGGGGAAUGGGGGCGGCCGGCAUAGCCCACAUUUCCCAAUCCUAUGACGCUAAACUGGCUUUAUAUUAAUACCUUAAUACAAUAGUUGCGACAGUGAGGCUCUCUGAGGGCUAGUAGACCUAAUCGCGACCAGAUUUCUCCCGCAAGGCCGCUAUAGUAUCCGUUUACGCAUAGGACUAGCGUCAUGAGACGUAAUGGACUGUCGCCAAGCCAUCGUCCAGGACUUUCUGCGUCGGAAGCGGUUUCAGACACUCCCCAGCGUGUGCCUCCCCCACACGCCACUUGGCGGGCCGACGGCAACCGGUUCCUUUGCCCCUCUGCGCUGCAUUGCGAACAUGCCGGCGGCUGUACCUGCUCCCAGAGACUCACUCUUGGUUCAUGUGUGUGGGUGGGUUGCAGGGGUUGCAGGGACAGCAGGCUGUGAUGGCGCAGGCCGUUGCCUGGGGUCCCGCAACGGCAGUAGACAUCGACUGCAGGCCACCUACGCACAACAGCGCAGCCCAUCUCCUCUUGACAGGCUGGUAUCGCUGCUACGGUAGCCUUCUGCUGUGGCCAACUCAGCAUGCAAGAGCCUGGUCGCUGCAUCGGGGCUCAGGGUUACCCCGCGUGUGGCUGCAACGCUACCGUUCCGGGCUCGUGGCGCUAGCCCGACCGCGGCCUUCCCCUCCCCAGUGCAACCCUACACGCGCCCCCUUUCCGUCUGGCAGGAUGCUACGCAGCCCAUCACGCCUCACGCCCUGCGCCUUGGCUUCCCCAUGCAGGCAGCAGCGCUGCGCGCGGCAGGAUGGCUGGCGCCGGCGCCUCGCCGCCUUUGCAGCGCCCGCCUUUGCAGCGCCCGCCUUUGCAGCGCCCGCCUUUGCAGCGGCUUGCCAGGGCUGGGGCCUGCCAGGGCUGGGGCGGCGCCGCUGGGGCCACUCCCUCGCGCGCGGGCUGUCGCUGGCGCAGCGGCACCUGGCACAGGCACUGGCUGCGCGGGCACCGGUGCCGCAGACCGGGGCGGGCAGCGCGCGCAUGUGUGUGUGUGGGCCCCCACCGAGCGGCUGCCUGUGGGAGGCGGAUGCGGCCGGGUGUGCACGUGUGUUCAGACGGCAACGCCGGAGUAGCUGCGCCCACCGAGCUGCCCCCCGGGCGGCACGGUGCUCAUCGCGGGAUGCACGGCACACAGCAAGACACGCCGUACCGCACGACAUGCAGUACCGCACCGUGCCGGCCGAGCCCUAGCCCGGGAGCGGGACAUGCAACGCGGCGGUGGCUGCGGCGGCCUGGCGGCGGUGGCGCUAGGCAGCCUGGCGGGGAAGCCGCUGCGUUCUGUUCGUGCUCGCUGCGGCAUGAGGAUGACUGCGCCCGGUGGUUCUCACCGCCAUGCUCAACCUCGUGUCGCUCAUGCGCCUACGCUCAGUGCCUGUGGUGGUGCGCAGGCGCUUAGGGACGUGGGCAGGCGGGGAUCUUGGGCGGCGCUGGGAGAAGCUGCACGGGAGGCGGAGGGUAUGGCCACCCAUGGGCAUGGCAGGGCAGCUGGGGGCCGUUGCACCCGGCGCCAUUGCACCUGUGCCGGGCGCUGUCCAGCGUGCUGGUGUGGGCCCGGGAAAAGCCGCCAUUACACACACACACACACACACACACACACACACACACACACACACACACACACACACACACACACACACACACACGUGCAUUUGCCGUCAUGCAUGCGCCCAUGCCGUCCCCCGCCUGUUUACUUGCUCGUGGUCGCCCACCCUCCGUCUCUUUCCUAAAUCGCGCAACCCCUAGUAUAGUUAAUUGGGCUGGGACUGGGCUGCGUGUUUGCUCUUGCUCGUCGCGCGCCGCCGCGCUAACAUGUUCCUUCGCUCUUGUUCGUGACACUCCCCUGCUGCCGCCCUGUGCUCUGUUGUUUUCUUAUUCGCUCGUAGGUGAGAAUUUCAUCGAGGAUUGGGCGGGAGCUUGGACUUAGCGGCCAGGAGUAGCGACGCGGAGCUAGGAAUUGUAGGAGUGCUUGGGCCUCACGGUACCGUGAGCACAUGCAUGGGUUUGCACCCUUGAGAGCGUGUGGACACUAAUCCCCCCUCGAGGUUAGAGUAGCGGGGGUUGCGCGAUUUCCGGUUGGUAAGACCGGCGGCUCACCGCAGCAGGUAUGCGAGGUAACUUCAGGUAACAUCCGUAAACCGUCGCUUUGCUGCAUCGCAUACACUGUCUUUGCGCAACGUUUUCCUUGUGCUCUUUAACACACACACACACACACACUGCAUCGCAUACACUGUCUUUGCGCAUCGUUUUCCUUGUGCUCUUUAACACACACACACACACACACACACACACACACACAUUCACCGUCGCUUUGCUGCAUCGCAUACACUGUCUUUGCGCAACGUUUUCCUUGUGCUCUUUACACACAUUCACACACACAUUCAAACACACAUUCGUUUUUAGUGGCGAGUCUUUGCGCUUUGUUCUGGUGCUCUUUGAAAUACAGCGGCCCGCGCUCCAAACCUGCACGUGUGCCGCUGUCAGCUGUCCGCUAGCAACUUGCCGCGGACGCCGCCGUGUGUCCCUACUCCCUACACGGGCACGUGCUGAUUACCGUGCCGGGGAGGUGCGCUGAUCGUGCCCACCUACCCCGCCUACCCGCCCCGCUUGCCUCCACACCACGGGCGGCCGGGCGCUUGGCGAGCGGCCAGGUGCGGUGGCCUGCGGCCACCCUCCAUGAUGCCCUGCAUCAGUGCAUGCUAUGGCCUAAGGCGGCGCGCCGGGCUAGGGGCCCACCGUGGGGCUCACCCCAAGCUCACUCAGGUCUUAGGUGCUCGCCGCCUGUACGUGUUCCCGUGGUUGGCCUGCGGCCCUGCGGGCUACGGCCCCGCCCCCACAUGAAGCUCUUCACUUCCUCAGCCCCCCCCCAAAGUGCCACCGGGUGCCUUCAACACGGCAGCACCCCUGCCUUGCAAAGGACUCUGUGGUGAUGGAGUGACUGAGGGACUGGACCCGCGGACAAAAAGCGCUUUGGCUGGCAGCCAGUGCCUUCAGAGGUCCAGACCGUGGCUUGGUGUGUGUGGGGCACACGCUUGCGGCGUGAUGUUAAGGCUUGGAAGCUUGCGGAGUGCGUGGAGUGCGCCGCGCGGGGGCCUGGCUGAACCUAGCACUCCCAAUGUGGUAAACGCAGGUGGGUCGUGUCCAUCUGUCACCUCUGGCCUCCACUCUCAAACAUGUGCACAUAAUUAGCCUGCACGGCGUGGCUGAAAGGUACAUGGCCAUAAGCCCCCUGCAAGUUGGAGGGUGGGGGCUGGUUCGCAGGGCCGAGCCAGGUCCCGCUGCGCGCGUCGGCGCGUGCUUCCGACCCACACGCGACACGCAACCCAGCCUUGACCUGCGCUGACCCUGUGGCCAACUGUUGCGGCGGGGUCCCGCGGUUCAGUCACUGGGUGCUCAGGCUGAAAGCAAAUCGCUCCUAAUCAGUAAGCAUGAGGGUUCUCUCCUCGGCAUGUGUAGCGCUGAGAUGCUGGCAAGAACGCUGCCAAACGCAUGCAUUGCAGUUGCACGGCUUGCCUUUAACCCUCACCAAACUUCUUGCCUUCAUAGUUACGUGUGCAUAUAACUCCCUGAUUAGAGGAGCGGCCCAGGCUGUUUCCUGCUGCUUCGCUCCAGGACUCGAGCGCGCCAACUGCAGAGCCCAACCUCGCGAGCCAGGCAUGUCGUGUCUAUGGCCGUAGCAACCUUUACUCCAUUAUUCAGCUUUGUGUAAACGCCUGUAGCUGACUAAACGGCUAUCUCCGUGCUCCACGCGUGCAGGCCAGCAUGCCAGCGGGUGAGCGGCCCAACGCGGGCCCUGGUGGCGAUGCGUCCGCGGCUAAGGCGGCAUCUCAAGGAGGGCAGCAGCAACAGCAGACCACGCCGGUCCUGAGCUGGAACGGGGAUACGCAAGUGGCCAUGUUCAUCACGGUCCUGCUGCUCCUUAACCUGAUGAAAUGGGUAGGUUAAACUGUUCUUGAGCAGCCUCUGGGUGCUCAUGUGCAGCGUGCAAUUGUGGCGACAAGUUUGCUGCCGGGCCGCUGCGUCGGCCCUUCCCAUGUCCGCCACCUUCCGCUCCUCCCCCGUCUGCCCCGCUUUACAGGCCAUGACCCCGCCAUGCACUUGCUGAGCAGCAAGCAGCUGGCCGCGGCUGAUGCCUCGGCCGCAGCGCUGGCUGGCUCCCUGCCUGCGCCCCGCGGCUGCGCAGGCGAGCCACAGCAGCAGCAGCAGCGCAGCAGCAGCAGCAGCCGCGUGGCUGUACGAUUGCAAACUGUACCAUAAUCUGCUGCGCGCAGACGACCGAAGCAGCUCUACUGUUUAUAUUAUUAUCUGUGCCUCCUGGCACCUGCUUGUGGCGGGUCCUAUUGUGGCGCUGCUGCGUGUCCGGUGCGGGGGGGAGGGGGGCCGCGCGUGUGCUGCCAGUCGGUUGCACGAUGCCUGAUAGGUCCGCUGCUAAGGUUACUUGGCGCAGGGCUGCUGGGGGGUUACAGCGGAUGGUUAAGAUGGGCGGCCCGCGUGGGGCGGGGCAGGUGUGCCGCAGCCGCGCCGUCACCAGCCACCACCCGCAGCACCUGCGCUGGAGUACCCACGAGAGUGCGGGAAGAAAUGUUGUCAGUACCCAUGGUGUGAUUCUAACCGUUAUAUUGUAUUGGGUGUUGGGUGCCACCGUGUGCUGUCCAUUGUGCUGGUGUUCGCUGGCAGCACAGCCAAGAGGCAGCGUUGACAGAAUGACUGAGAGAUGCAUCCGUCGCACCCAGCAGUGACCCUUGACAGAUUACGUUCGAUGUGCUUUCCUCCGACACCUCCUUGUUACCUUAACUUGUUGCACAAUGACAGCGUGAGAUGCAUGCUGGAAAUGCAGGGACCGCAAAGCAAUGUUGGACUGUUGCAGUAGCGUAGGAGCAGGUAGAUGCACUGGCAUCGUAGUGUGAGGGCUCCUUACAUCCGGGUAUCGGCAGGUCACAGUUCUGGGUGUUGCAGCUGCUAGUAUGUAAUGCUACCAGAAUCACGUGCCGACUCGUCCACUUUCCGUGGGGAGCUCAAGGACUGGCCGUGGACGGAGUGCGUUCGGCUGAGAGCAGUGUUUGCAGCACGACAGCAGCAGGGCGGGUCAGGGGUCAAGGGUGCCCACAAGUGGCCCUCCGUGUACUAGUGUGUACUCCAGUGGCGAGGUCAGGGUGUGUGAGGCCGGAGCCUGAGUGCCUGACGCACAGCAAUAUGGGCAUAACGGUUAGCCCGCCCAACAGCCACUCCCAGCCCUCAACAGGCCACAAAGCCAGCAGUCUUCAUGCACGUGACCAACAUUCACGCAUGGAGAUGUACUUGUGUUGUGCCAUGUAAAACGCACGCGGCGAGCCGUUUGCGGCGCCAAUUGCAACGCACAUUGCAAACCUGUACAAGGAAGGCGAGGCUGGGGCCCCAAGCUAGCCCAACGCACACAAGAACGCACACACGAAACACGCCCGGCACAAACCGCUUAACCUAUUUCCGUUUCUGGCCCGACGUUCCUUUAGCGGGUUACACCUUAACUCAACCUGCCUUAUACCCUGUCCCAUCGCACGUUGCUUCGUUUUGCACGGUGGCCAUGUCCGCAGUGAGCCCGGACUGUAGGUCCGCCCCGCUCCGCCCGGCACUUGCCAACGGCUCCUUACCCGUGCCCACGCUCACUCCACACUCCACAUUUUGACUCCCCGCGCCUCAUACACACCUUGCUCACACGGCGUCAGCAGCGCCCACGCAUGCCUCCGACAAAAUUGGGCUCCGCGCUCGCGGCUCUGCUGCGUACAGCAAUGGCCCUGCGGCGUGCCUGACGCCGACAGCCAAUCCGAAACUGCACGCGCACAUCUCAUUUGGCACUUGAGCAAGCACCAUGCGACCCCGCAUUCGUUCAACCAGUCUUCCAAAUUGCACGCCUCAUAUUCCUCACCCCGCGCUUGGUUCACCCCAGUCCCCCAAGGCAUCGCGUGCCGCCCUUGCGGCGCCCGCCCUUGCGGGCCCCAGACCUUCAACACUCGGCCCCCACAGCACCCGGGCCCGCCCAACAGCCCCUCUGCAGCGGCAGGCCACUCGGCCGCCGCGCGCACACGCUCAAGCACACCUAUCUAGCUUCGCGCUUCGCUUCCUAACACCCCUUAGGUAUUACAACUACGUACCCGGGAGCAACCCACGGCCGUGCAGUCACACCGCCGUGAUUUCAUAGCACGUCCGACACUCCAACGCGCCACUACACAAACAGCAAACAACACCAAGUCCCAGUCCAACUCCUCUAUAUAGCAUGUAAAAAGAAGACGGCCGCUUCCCGGCAUUAACAACUCACGAGGGAAAAGGAUUUAGUGCUCAUCCCCUCAGCGCCAAGCUGCGGGCCGCAACCCAGCUGCUACUGAGGACCUCUUCAGCUGCAGAUCUCACAGCAGCUCAGCUUUGCGGAUCUCUCCAGCAGCAACUCAGCUGUGGGUCUUGAUCUCCUCCUCGCCCAGCAGCAGCUCAGCUGUUGAUCUUGAUCUCCUCCUCGCCCAGCAGCACCAGGCGCCGGAAGUGGCCCAGCGCCCAGAUGGGGAAGAUGUUGCUGCGGCGGCAGGGAGGGGAGGGAGGGGGGUUACAUUCAUGAUUAGUUAAGAAGUGGGGAAGGGGGGAAGGGAUGAAGGAGGAAGAGGGGUAAGAGUGGGCGUUGCAGGUUCAGGACGGAGGGGGGUUUACAAUCAUGACUAGCGAUGGGGUGCGGGGCUGGGCCAGGAAGGAGGGGCGGAGGCUGCGGGCGAGGGUCAAAUGACGUGGUCCCAUGCCCAGGGGCUCAGGCGGCCGGUUGAGGCACGAAAGGACGCAGGUGGGCAAGUGCGAGGGAUGGACUGUGGGUCGGAGCUCCCACUUAGCUGCGCGAAGCAAAUUGGGCCGGGCUGGGCUGGGCUGGGCCACACGGGUGGGCCUGGACCCGGGAGCUGAGCGGAGGUGCCGCCAGCCUCCCCCCUUCAUUAGUAAUCAUGAAUGUAACCCCCCUCGCCGGAGGCCCCCCCCGCUUGUGCGGGCCUGCCUGCCUGCCUGCCUGCCCGCCUGCCUGCCUGCCUGCCUGCCUGCCCGCCUCACCGGUAGUUGGCGUAGGUGAUCAUGCAGUUGCGGUUGAACACGCCGCUGAUGUGCUGCUGCGGCCAGUCGCCGCUGGGCUGCUGCAUGCGCAUCAGGAACACGGCGCCGCGCCGCAGCGGCUCCGGGUCCACCUGGGGCGAGGGGGGCGGGUGUGUGGGGGGCCGCGUGUGUGUAUGUGUUGACGAGGCCCGCCAAGGCGCUUUGUGCAUGUGCGUGUGUGUUGAGAUUACGCCUCUGCGGUGGCCGCCCCAGCUCAGCCCAACCCCACCUGUACGUGCCCCAUGCCCACCACCCCUCCCACCUACCGUCCCACCACCGUGCCACUGUCGCGCACAUGUUCAUGGCAGCGCUGUUCAUGUGUUGACGCUGCCGCCCGUGCCCCUAACACACAUGCCCUGAACCCCCACCCACCCACCCACACCCAACCACACAUCGACACACAAACACAAACACACUCGCCCCCUCCCCCUCACCUUGUGGUAUCCCACCGCCAUGAGCGCCAACAUGGCCCAGGCCGUGUUCACCACGUGGCUGUCCCCCUCCAGGUGGCUGUACACCUGGGGGGGUGUGAGAGUGUGUGUGUGUAUGGUUGUUCAAGGCACACGGAAAAACAAGCGCUCAGACUGAAUAUGCGAUGCAGCCACGGCAAACGAAACGAGUGACCCUGUGCACUUGAUAGUCUGUCGUGUGACCACCGCCCAUCCUAUGCCCUCCUCCCCCUCCUCCCUCCUCCCUCCCUCCUCCUCCCCCUCCUCCUCCCUCCCUCCUCCCCCUCCCGCCCCACCUUGUCCUGGCAGCUGAGGUAGCUCUCGCCCCAGCCGCCGUCCGCCCGCUGCUUGUCCGCCAGGAAGGCCGCGCACCGCCGCAGCGCCUCGUCGUUGGCGUACGUGUGCCCCAGCGCCGCCAGCCCAGUGGCGCCGAACCAGCAAGCGUAGGUGAAGCACACGCCCCAGGAGCCGUACCUGCGCAGGAGGAGGGAGGAGGCGGGGGAGGGGGGGAGAGGGGAGAGGGAGGGGUUGUUGAUACCAGCCCGAACUAAACCGAACCGCGCCAAAGUAGCGGAGCGCAGGCAGAGGCGGCAGUUGCGAGGGGGAGGGGAGGGAGGGGUUGUGUAUACCAGCCCAAGCUGGAACAAGGGAAUUCAGCGAAGCACAGGCGCAGGCACAGCACGGGGGGGUGGAGGUAAGGGAGUGUUGGUUGAAGACCAUUCACAGUACUGUGGGAAACCGGAGGCACGGGAAAUGCAGGACAAGACAAGACAGGCUAAACCCGUGGGUGUAGAGGUGUUGACGAAGAGUAGAACCCGGGAUAGCCGCCCUUGCACUCAUUCUGUUUGUUCCCUUCGACGCGGUCUCUCCAAACCUACCAGGAGCCGUCCUUGCGCUGGAUGGAGCGGAUGAAGGCCUCGGCCCGCUUGAGGGAGGCGGCGAUCUCCGCGGCCCGGUGGCCGGGGUGCUGCCUGUGUGUGUGUGCGUGUGGGGGGGGUGCGUGUGUAGGAGUGCGGGUGAGCAGGUGACGGAGCAGGCGCAGGUUGGGACAGGGUGGGAUCAGGACCCAGGACUCCGGCCCCAACACAUUCUACCAUGGACACACAUGCGCAACAUGCACACGUACGCACACACGUACACAGUCACACACUCGCACACACAGUCACACACAGUCACACAAUUCCGCACCCCUUCCCACACGCUCACUGCCCCCCACCCACCCCAUCCCCCGUUCUCUCACUUCCUGAAGCUGCACAGCGCGGUGAUGCAGGCGCUGGUGCACUCGACGUAGCUGUAGUCCACGAUGAUGUCGCCAAACGUCUCGGCGGGGUUCAGGAUCUGGGGGGGAGGAAGGGAUGGGGGGUGGUUGGGGGAGGGUUGCGGGUUGGGGGCGUGGAGGGGCCCCGGCAGGGGGCGGGGAUGGUUGGGGAGUUACAGCUAAGGUAAGGGGGGGCGGGCGGCUGGGGGAGUAGAACACCGCCCCACCGACACCCACAACCACACCCACACACGCACACGCACACGCACACCCCCCCCCCACACCCACACACACCCACACACAGACACGCCUAUGCUUUGCUGCAUCGCAUACACUGUCUUUGCGCUAUGUGUUCCACGUGCGCUAUGCUUUCCAUGUGCUAUUUAAACACCAACCUCUCCCCCCCCCCACCGCCCGCCCCGCCCCGCCCCGCCCCCACCUCCAGCCAGUGGAAGCUGCGCGUGUUCUCGUACGUGGCCAUGCCGCCGUCCCGGUUCUGGUAGCUCAGGAUGACGUUGACGCAGUCGUACAGCCGCUCGGGCGAGAUGGCGGGGCCCACCUGCGGGGGUUGGCGCGUGUGUGUAUUGUAGGUGUGGGUGUGCGAUGGGACAGUGGUAAGGCAGGUUGGUAAAGUCCCGUAGGUUGGGAGGUGAAGCACCCACCGCAUCCACCGGCCAGCCAGCCACCGCUCUACCCGCACGUGGCUUCCGGGGAAGUCAUCAGGGUUAACUUGAACAAUCUCUUACGCCCAAGAUCUUUAAUGACAUUACGCUCAACCCGCCCCCCCCCUCCCAGCCACCCCCACCCGCCCAUGCCGCCCCUCCCGCCACCAGCUCCUCCGGCAACAGCGCCAGUGUGAGCGCCGCCUUCAGUCCCUCGCACACAUAUGCACACACACACAACCAACCCGCUCCCCACAUUCCCUCCCACCCCCGCCCCCAAUCUCCCCCCUUUCUUCCCACCAGCUCCUCUGGCAGCAGCGCAAGCGUGAGCGCCGCCUUCAGUCCCUCGCUGGAGCAGUCGGAGAUGGGCCAGCCGUGGUCGCGCGAUGAGAAGGGCCAGGCGCCCUUGCUGAUGUGGCGGUAGUAGGCGGACAGCGGCGCCGCGGCCUCCUCAAUCACCUGUGCGCGGAGGGAGGGAGGGAGGGUGAGGGCGGAGGUGAGGGUGGAAGUGUGGGUGGAGGUGUGGGUGGAGGUGUGGGUGGAAGUGACCUCCACUAACAAAUACACUUUAACACUUCUCUACACACGCACACACAACCCACGUAGCAAGGAAGUGACUCCGGCGCCGUUUUGUUAUUGUAUCCUAACACACACCCUCCGCCGCCCCCCCUUCCGCACCUGGCUCUGCUCCACGUACUCGUGCGCCUUGCGCAGGCAGUGGCCCGACACCUGCAGCAGCCCGGCCUCGGCGAUGGCCUGCGCUCGUGCGAGUGAUAUUAUUGGAGGGAUCACAUUCAUAAGUAGUUAAGGAAAUGGUAGACGGUAGACCAUCUUGCGGAACAUGAAGCGUUCGGGGGGGGGCGGGUUGGGAUGGGAGAGAAAUGGGUUGCGUCUUGGCGUGUAGCACCAGCAAUCAAUACUGGAGCGGUGGGCUGCAACCCACAACAACUUGAGCCGGCCGCGAAGCAGCCCUUCCACGAAAAGCUACCUCCCUCUCACUCGGGAUUGGGAAAGCUACAACCCCCGCCCCAGUGCCCUCACUCCCUCACCCACCACCCAGCCUCCCCCUCCCCCUCCCCCUCCCCCUCCCCNNNNNNNNNNNNNNNNNNNNNNNNNNNNNNNNNNNNNNNNNNNNNNNNNNNNNNNNNNNNNNNNNNNNNNNNNNNNNNNNNNNNNNNNNNNNNNNNNNNNCCUCCCCCCCUCCCCCACCCUCCCCCCCUCCCUCCUGCCCGCACCUGCACUGCGAAGCUGGUGUCCCACAGUUGGCUGCCGUUGUAGCCCUGCAUCUUCAGCCCGUCCUCCGCCACCCACAGGUAGUCGUGCACACGGGGCAGGUGCCUGGCGGGUGGGUGGUGGGUGGUGGGGUUGGGGGGUGGGGGUGGGGGUGGGGGUGGAGGUUCGGAGAACUUUGACAUGAAGUGGUAGAGCGUGAGCAGCACUUGCAACGAUUGGAGGAGCGGGAGUGGGAGGGUGUGAGUUGGGAGGAGGAAGGGGAGUCGGAGUGCGGAGGAGGAAGGUGAAUGUGGUCAAUGGGGAAUGGGUGGUGUGUGCAGCGUGCGUGCCAGUGUGUGUCUCCUCCUCCUUCCUCCACCCCCCCUGCCCCCCCUCACUUCUGGAAGGCCUUGCCGCCGGGCUCCUCCAGCCAGCAGGCCAGCAUGUUGAUCACCUUGUUGACAGGCCCGAUGUCCACAUAGCGCGUGUUCUCGUCCUGCAGGCGGGUGCGUGCGUGCGUGUGCAUUUGUAUGUGUUAAAGAGCACAAGGAAAACAUUGCGCAAAGACAGUGUAUGCGAUGCAGCAAAGCGAUUUGUAUUGUGUGCGUGUGUUUGUACUUUCUAAAACAACGCGUGUGCGCGUGUGUUGUAGAGAGCAUAAGGGCUUAAAUUACGCCCGUCAUUGUCAUGGGUAGGUGUCGAAAACCACCACAGGGGGACAGUCAACCCCUCCUCCUCCCCCUCCACCUCCCCCCUCCUCCUCCCCCCACCCCCCUACCUCGUAGUGUAUGUGCUUCAUGCACUCGGCCAGCGCCGCCCGCCGCAGCCAACUGCCCUGCAGCACGUUCUCAGCCUUGUACAGCGCCCACCACAGGAUGUCCUGUCCGGGGUUGGGGUGUCACGGGUGGUGUAGGGGGUUACAUUCAUGCAUUAUAUAGGAUUAUAUAGAUGGGAAAAUAUGGCAAGGGAUCCUCAUUCGUCCACGGAGCACGUUGAGAUCUUCCUACACACGCACACACACACACACACACACACACACACGCACACGCACCUGCACCAGGGGGUGGGGGUAGUACAGGUCCUCCUUGGCGCACUGGUUGCGGGCGGCGUUCCAGUCGACCCGGCCGUACGGCAUGGGGUACAGCUCCUGCCUGCGGCGGCGUGGCAGGCCCACGGGGACAGAGGGCGGGUGUACCAGUGGCGGUGGGUUACAUUCAUGAUUAGUUAAGGAAGUGGUAGACGGUAGUAGGUGGGAGGGGAAAGGGAGCGCCGAGCCCAUGCGUGGGGGUCCUGUACAUGGAUGCGCGUGUAUAUCUACGUGCACUGUGCAUGGCACGCGCGCCGACCCCCACCGCCCCCCACUCCCAUCCCCAUCCCUCCCCACACACACGCACGCCCUCCCCACCUGAUGGCGGCGGUGAGCGGCGUCUCCUGGCACGUGCCGCGCUUGCCGUACACGUAGCUCAUGGGCAGGUACACCUGAGGAGCGGGGGAGGGGGGAGAAGCGGGUCGGGGGAGCGGGGGUUGGUGCCGGGGUUUGUGGGGCGUGUGUGAGCCGCCUGGUGGGUGAUCCGCACCACCCCUAGAGCUCAGGCCACUCGCCGCGAACCCGCCUCUUGCGCGCGCGCCCAGCCCCACGCCCAGCCCUUGACCCUGAGCCUAUCUUGAACCCCAACCCAGCAUCGCCACCAGCGCACAAACACACACACACACACACACACACGCAGCGCCACGCUUUGCUGCACCGCAUACACUGUCUUUGCGCAAUGUUUUCCUUGAGCUCUUUAACACAGCGCCACAGCCACACACGCACCAUGCGGCAGUGGCACCAGAAGCGGCCCGGGUGCAGCAUGCCGAUGCCCGUCCACUUGCUGGGGGGACAGGGCGGGGGAAGGGCAGGGGCGGGGGCACGGGGAAGGGGAGGGCAGGGAGGGCCGUCGGUGUGGUGCGGCCAGUGCCGGUGGCGCCAGGGGUCAGCUCGAAGGCAUGGCGGGUGGCGGGUUGGCGGGGUGGCACCGUGCCAGCAGCGGCGGCGGUUCUGGGGCGUGCCGCGGGGCCCCCUGCCGCGGGGUCCCCUGCCGCCACCCCCUGCCGCCGGUCGGUGCACCGCAGCUCCUGCCCCCGCCCAGGCACUGCCGCACCGCCACACCCCGCGCCGCCGCCAUCCUGGCAAGUCACUGCGCCGGGCCGUGAACCCUACCCGCCUCCCCCGAAGCCCACCCCCCGCAGCCCUCAGCCCCCCAAGGACUGAUGAUGGGUAGCCACCUCCACCCUCCCGCCCUCCUCGCCCUAUUGCAUUGGGUUCGGUUUAGCCCUGGUUAGGCUGGUAUCUACACCCCUCCUUCCUUCCUUCCCUCCCUCCCGCCUCCUCCCUUCCUCCUCCCCCUCCUCACUUGUGUGGCAGCAGCCACAUCUCGGGCGUGAGCGGGUUCAUGCCGUCCCAGCUGUACACGCCCAGCACCGCCAGCCAGAACUUGCCCCAGCUGGUUAUGUAGGUGGCACCGCCGCGGGCGUGCAUCUGGGGGCGGGAGAGGGGAAGGGGUUACAUACAUUCAUGAUUAAUUAAGAAGUGAAGGGGGAGGGGGAGGCAAUUCCAAACCCCAAAUGAAACCGAAGGGGCAUUGCGAGGUUUGGCGGGGGAGGAGAGGGGUUCCAGGCUUGACUAGUGAGAUGAAGACGGUGUUGGGGCAGCGCCGUGUUGCAGACGGGUCAAAAAUGUCCUUGUUGGGAAUGGCGCCGUUGGGAGUGUUGGUUGGGGACUGCAUUUGACUCUCCCCGCGCUUCCCAUCCUCCCCCACCUGCCGUCUAACGAGCGACCGGUAUGCCUAGAAGGCUGGAACCCUGUCCCCCUCUCUCCUCUCCCUCCCCCGAUUCCUUGACUAUGUGGACCAAUUUCGUUGGGCUCGGGCAAUUACCCCCCUCUCCGCCCUUUCCCCCUCCCCCUCCCCCGCUACCCCCUCCCCCGCUACCCCCUCCCCCGCUACCCCCUCCCCCGCUACCCCCUCCCCCGCUACCCCCUCCCCCUCCCCCCCAACCCCGCUACCCCCCACCCCACCCCACUCACCCACUCCCGCGCCUUGACGCACAGCGGCUCCUCCGCCGCCAGCCCCAGCAGCCGGGCCAUCACGUAGCUGAGGGUGGGGGUGCGGGUGGGAGGCGUGCACGGGGGGGGGCCGGUUGCUAGGAUGUUUAGAAAAGCAGUACAGGAUGCACUGGGGGGAGGUUACAUUCACGAUUAGCUAAGGAAGUGGUAGACGGUAGGGGAGGAGUCAAGGACCACCCUGCACCACCCUCCCUCUCCUGCCUACCCGGCAUUUCUCCCCCUCCCUUUCCCGCCACAGCUCCGGUUCUCGGUCUCGGAGCUGGGCAUCGACUACCCGCCCUGCUCCCCGCUUCCCCCACCGCACCCCUCAUGGUGUGGUGCGAGCAGCACCAGGCCCCUCCUCCCUUCUCUCCCCUUGCAUGGACGGCUGACUCCCCCCCUUAGGUUGAUCUGGGAUUGGGACAAGCUGCCCCUCAACCCCUCGGCCCUUCCCUCCUCGGUCCUCCCCCUGGUCUCCCCUCCUCUCCCCCAGUGUGACUCCGUUGUCAAGGCAUAGGCCACGCUCUCCUCCUCGCCCUUUUGCAUUGGGUUCGGUUUAGUUUGGGCUGGGAUCUACACACACACACACACACACACACGUCCUCCCUCCGCCUCCUUGCCUCCCCUCCUCUCUCCCCCUCCUCCCCCCCUCCCUUCUUAACUAAUCAUGAGUGUAACCCCCUUGCUGCUCACUUGAGGCCGGUGCCGAACAUGGUGCUGCCACCCUCAAUGUGCAGACCGAAGCCGCCGUCCUCGUUCUGGUGGUUGUGCAGGUAGCGCAGGGCCUCCUUCUUGUGAGCGGGGCUGAAGAUCUGGGGAACAGGCAGGAGGGAGGGGUUGCAAUCAUGAUUAAUGAGGAAGAAGCGACUUUGGAGCCGGGCACAUAAGUACAGCAGGCGCGUCGUUACGGGGGGGUGACAUUCAUGAUUAUUCAGGCAGUGGGAGGGAGGGGGGAGGGGGGAGAGGGAAGGACGGGGCAUGGCUGGGUUGGAGACGGCGGCGUGGAAAUGGUGCAGCUUUCCACGGAGAGGGGGGUUGUAGAUACCAGCCCAAACCAAAGUGAACCCAAUGCAACCGAGCGAGGAGGAGAGCGUGGGGGGAGGAGGGACGGUGACGGGUGGGGAAGGGGGAAGCUGCCCAUGCAGAAAUCCCCUCAAGUUCGGGGGCCUGCGGUGGUGUGGGCGAGGCGAGGUCGUGUAUGUGCGCGUAUGCAUAUGCGUGUGUGUAGGCGCCUGGGCGCGCCGCCAGCCCGCGGCACGGACACGCGUGUCAUGUCUGCCCGCCCUUCCGGGCUGGCCCCCGCACCUGUGCCCCGGCCCCUCCGAACCGCCCAGCCAAAAGGACUGGCCCUGAUGCAGACACCCUCACGUGCGACUUGCGCAUCACCACAGCCUGGCAAAACACCACACGCGACACGCCCUACCCACCGCGACACGCCCAGCCCACAGCCUGGCCCGACACAACACGCGACACGCGACACGCCCUGUCCUGCAUGCCGUGUCCUGCAUGCCGCAUUCCGCGCAGCCCCAGCCCCCAUGUCCGGUGUCGUUGUCCUCCCCCAGAGCCUCGCACCUCCUCACCUGCCCCGUUCCCACACACGCCUCGUCCCGGCCUAUGGCAUGCAGAUCGCGGCCCUUUCACGAGCCCUUGCUGCGUUUCAUGCCCAUGUGUGGCGCCCCCCUGCAAUGCCCGCACCCCCCUCCCCCCACACGCACACACGCGCACAGCACGUAACCAUGCCCCCCUCCCCGUCCCCCCUUCUGCCCUUGACUCACCCCUCCACACACGCACCUGGUCUAGCGCACCGCAGGUGUAGAGCGUGAUGACCAGGCCAGGCAGCAGAAACAUCGGGCCACCGUAAUCACCCGGAAAGUGGCCGUCCUCCUGCUGCAGGCACUCAUAGAAGCUGAUCGCACCCUUUAGAUGCUCCUCCACGCGCUCAGCGUCGGGCGCGUCAGGCACCGGGCCGGAUGGCGGGGAAUGCUUCUUGGCGCGAAUGCGGUCCGCGGACUGCAGGCGCAGCAGCUCAUCGCCCGAGUGGUGGUGUUUAUCUUUAUUGGCUGUGAACUCUUCGCGCAGACGCUCCGCCUCAGCGCGCUGCUCAGGGGUGCCUGCCGCUGGGUCAUACUCCCAAGUCUGGCGUCCUUUGUUCCCAUUCAGCGAGCGCAGCAGCGGACCGCCAGUUGUGCCGGCAGAAAUGAAUUUCCACAUGGCAGUCCACUAUUUAAGAAGCACUAGACGAAUGCGUUACAAGCCCCCGCGCUUCCUGGGCGCGCUGGUCGCCUCAAGCUCUGUAAGGAGUCAAUAUGGUAUCUCUUCGCGGUUUAGCCUUGGCAGGCCUGGGCGUGCGUAAGAGCACUUCGCUGGCAAAGAGGAGAAGUUGAUGGAACCCAGCUGGUCAGGUCUUAGCUCCCUAUCGCGCAGCAAAUGUAUUUCUAUGGCACCGUGGCGUGCACCAAUGUGUGUAAAAGUGAAGUGCAAGCUCCGCUGGGCGCGCGGGGAUCGCAGGGGUCGCGACCGGCAUGCGCGGGCAACCGUACCGGUACCGUGUGGGUAUGGGCGGCGUGUCCGGCCGUGUCAGGUCGCCGGGUGCAAUCGCUGCCGAAGGUGCCUUACUUUAGUAGCAAAUGUACUCCUUUGAUAAUCAACAUAGAAGCAUGCGCUAGGAGGGUGAGAACCUUGGGGAUGGCGAGUGAUGGUUGCAACCCGAGUGGUGGGUCAGCAACGGGGAGUCCCGGGUCUGCUGGCUACGUGGGCGGGGGGUGGCGGGGGCUGCGGCGUGCCUGUGGCCAGGUCGUCCCAGGUCCGCUGGAUGGCCCGGCCGGGUCUACUGGACUGGGCGAAUGGCCCGGCCGGGCGGCAUCAGGCAUGCUAGGCGGCCGGGCCGGGUCGGCAGGAUGGUUGCAGCAGCGUCUACACAAGCAACAGCAUUAACAUUACCCCAUGUAUGAGGAGUUACCUCGAUAUACAAGGAAGCACUUGGAUCAAAAGCCUAUCCGGUUCGGCUUCGGUCUGCUAGCGUGUCGACUGGCGCGCCCCAGCAUGUCCGUAGGCUCUUGAAUAGGCAGGCCUUCCCCUGCCUUGCAGCAUGCGCUUCUUUCCUAUUCUUUCUGCUAUCUUUUACACACCUUUACUAUCAGUCAAGACGCGUGAUGUGCGCACGGGUCGGGUCGCUGCGGUUGGAUGUCUGUGCUGGGGUUGCGGGUUCGGUCGCAAGGGUGCGGACUGCCUGGGGUCUGGGCGAGCAAUUCGGCAUGACUGGCCUGCUCUGCAGCCGGGGGGCAUGCCCUGCGAGGUCUGCCACAGUGCCACACUCACACGUGGGGUCGUACCGUAUACCCCGCCCGGUCGCUGCUUGUUCGCCUCGCAAUGACGCCCGGCUCACUCGAGACGUCUGGGCACUGAUGACAGCAGCAGGGGGGGGGGUAGGAAACAAAGUGCCAGACCCCAUGCCCCGAAAUCCCCCGGGCCCCCCCUUGAGGGGACGACCGACCCCCCGACGGACAAAACCUUGUUGUUCAGGGGUUAAAACCCCUCCAUUUUAUACCGAGCACGAGCGGUCCUGUUUUGAGACUUCGGUCACAGGCGGAAUCCUAUCCAUGGAAAUCCCCUCGACCCAGACCACCCCGCGCUCAACUCUCUGCCGCGUGACGGUUACACAGUGUGCAUCGGCAGCCUUGUUAGACGUGAACUCAUGCGCACCAGCGCUUCAGAGCCCAGCUGUGUCAGUGCGCAUGUGUUGAAUGUGGAGACAUGUCCAGACAUGUCCACGCCUGGACGCGCAACUUAGCCCUCCCACGCUUUGUUUGCGCUUAGUACGUCAUAACAUGCACAUAUGAGCCUCAUACUGCUGCGUUUGACCCCUAGUUCUGCUUGUG